GAUGAACGCUGGCGGCGUGCUUAAUACAUGCAAGUCGAGCGAACAGAUGAGGAGUUUGCUCCUCUGACGUUAGCGGCGGACGGGUGAGUAACACGUGGAUACCCUCCCUCUCUGUCUGGUAUACCUGCGGAAAACCGGCGCUAAUCCCGUAUAAUAUAUUUAUCCGCUUUGUUCAAUAAUGAAAGACGGUUUUGCUGUCACUUCUAGCUGGCUCCGCGCCGCAUUAGCUAUUUGGUACGGUAACGGCUUCCCAAGGCAAGGAUGCGUAGCCGACCUGGGAGAGUGAUCGGCCACACUGGAAGUGAGACACGGUCCAGACUACUACGGGAGGCAGCAGUAGGGAAUGUUCCGCAGUGGGCGAAAGCAUGACGGAGCAACGCCGAGUGAGAGAUGAAGGUCUUCGGAUCGUAAAACUCUGUUAUUAGGGAAGAACAAAUGUGUAAGUAACUAUGCACGUCUUGACGGUACCUAAACAGAAAGCCACGGCUAACUACGUG
rnacentral:rRNA from 1 species